GAGCCAUCACAAGCCGUUGUAUCUCUGGUAUCUCAGGUAAAGGAAGACUCCAGGAGCCAUCACAAGCCGUUGUAUCUCUGGUAUCUCAGGUAAAGGAAGACUCUCCAGGAACCGUCACUGCUGAGUCCGAUUCUACUAGAAAACAACCACCAUGUCUAAACCCCUCGUAAUCUUGCUGCUUUUGUCCAGCACAUCAGUGGUGACCUUCACAGCUGGCCAAGCACCAGGCAGGUCUAUAAAUAUCACAGUUCCGGAGAUGGGACAGUUCCAGGCUAUGAUGGCUUUGUAUAAGGAUAGCAGCUACACAACUCCGUACACGGGAGCAGACGUCACCCUCUCUACAAGGGAAUUCUUGUAUGUCGGAGUCUUCUCUCUGGGUGGCCCAUCGAAUCUCGUUCUGGUGAUGAGGAACUGCUACGCCACCCCAAC